CAGUCGCCACGGUAAUACGUAGGGUGCAAGCGUUAAUCGGAAUUACUGGGCGUAAAGCGUGCGCAGGCGGUUAUAUAAGACAGAUGUGAAAUCCCCGGGCUCAACCUGGGAACUGCAUUUGUGACUGUAUAGCUAGAGUACGGCAGAGGGGGAUGGAAUUCCGCGUGUAGCAGUGAAAUGCGUAGAUAUGCGGAGGAACACCGAUGGCGAAGGCAAUCCCCUGGGCCUGUACUGACGCUCAUGAACGAAAGCGUGGGGAGCAAACAGGAUUAGAUACCCCCGUAGUCCCUGUCUCUUAUAA
rnacentral:rRNA from 1 species